rnacentral:rRNA from 1 species
CCUACGGGUGGCAGCAGUGAGGAAUCUUGGUCAAUGGGCGCGAGCCUGAACCAGCCAAGUCGCGUGAAGGAUGACGGUCCUACGGGUUGUAAACUUCUUUUAUAAAGGAAUAAAGGUAUGCACGUGUGCAUUUUUGUAUGUACCUUAUGAAUAAGGAUCGGCUAACUCCGUGCCAGCAGCCGCGGUAAUACGGAGGAUCCGAGCGUUAUCCGGAUUUAUUGGGUUUAAAGGGAGCGUAGGUUGGUUGUUAAGUCAGUUGUGAAAGUUUGCGGCUCAACCGUAAAAUUGCAGUUGAUACUGGAAGACUUGAGUGCAGUUGAGGUAGGCGGAAUGCGUGGUGUAGCGGUGAAAUGCUUAGAUAUCACGAAGAACUCCGAUUGCGAAGGCAGCUUACUAAGCUGCCACUGACACUGAUGCUCGAAAGUGUGGGGAUCAAACAGGAUUAGAUACCCUUGUAGUC